rnacentral:rRNA from 1 species
CCAAGAUAAGGUCACGGCGAGACGAGCCCUUUCUCAUUACGAUAGGUGUCAUCAAUUGGAAGUGCAGUGAUGUAUGCAGCUGAGGCAUCCAUGACCACUCCUGUAUGGUGAA